AUUGAACGCUGGCGGCAUGCCUUACACAUGCAAGUCGAACGGCAGCGGACCUUCGGGUGCCGGCGAGUGGCGAACGGGUGAGUAAUAUAUCGGAACGUACCUUUCAGUGGGGGAUAACGUAGCGAAAGUUACGCUAAUACCGCAUAUUCUGUGAGCAGGAAAGCAGGGGAUCGCAAGACCUUGCGCUGAUUGAGCGGCCGAUAUCAGAUUAGCUAGUUGGUGAGGUAAAGGCUCACCAAGGCGACGAUCUGUAGCGGGUCUGAGAGGAUGAUCCGCCGCACUGGAACUGAGACACGGUCCAGACUCCUACGGGAGGCAGCAGUGGGGAAUUUUGGACAAUGGGCGCAAGCCUGAUCCAGCCAUGCCGCGUGAGUGAAGAAGGCCUUCGGGUUGUAAAGCUCUUUCGGCCGGGAAGAAAUCGCACAGGUUAAUACCCUGUGUGGAUGACGGUACCGGAAUAAGAAGCACCGGCUAACUACGUG
rnacentral:rRNA from 1 species